GAUGAACGCUGGCGGCGUGCCUAAUACAUGCAAGUCGAGCGAACAGACGAGGAGCUUGCUCCUCUGACGUUAGCGGCGGACGGGUGAGUAACACGUGGAUAACCUACCUAUAAGACUGGGAUAACUUCGGGAAACCGGAGCUAAUACCGGAUAAUAUAUUGAACCGCAUGGUUCAAUAGUGAAAGACGGUUUUGCUGUCACUAAUAGAUGGAUCCGCGCCGCAUUAGCUAGUUGGUAAGGUAACUGCUUACCAAGGCGACGAUGCGUAGACGACCUGAGAGGGUGGACGGCCAGCCUGGAACUGAGACACGGUCCAGACUCCUACGGUAGGCAGCAGUAGGGAAUCUUCCGCAAUGGGCGAGAGCCUGACGGAGCAACGCCGCGUGAGUGAUGAAGGUCUUCGGAUCGUAAAACUCUGUUAUUAGGGAAGAACAAAUGUGUAAGUAACUGUGCACGUCUUGACGGUACCUAGUCAGAAAGCCACGGCUAACUACGUG
rnacentral:rRNA from 1 species